GGCCGCAUUACCUGACUGGGCUAAGGUAGCAAAAUCUUUAGCCUUUUAUUUGAAGGCCAGCAUGAAAGAUUUGACAUAGAGUUAUCUGUCUUAAGACUAUCUAAUAUAAUUUUAUAUUAUGGUAAAAAAGCCAUUAAUUAUUAAAAAGACGAUAAGACCCUAAAAUCUGCUAAAAUCGAAUUAAUUUUUAGAUUUUUUUUUUUAACAAUUGAGUAGACGGGGGCGGUAAUUAUUAUUUUAACAAUAAAAUUAUUUACCCUUUGGGGGAUUUUUUACACCCUUUUUUUGAAUAAAAUAAGAUACUUUAGGGAUAACAGCAUAAUAGAUUUUGACCGCCCUUAUUGACAAAUAUGUUUAUGACCCCGAUGUUGAAUUGAAUUAUCUAUGUUUAAAAGAAAAAAUAUCAGGUAAGUCUGUUCGACUUUAAUUGUUCGCAUGAUGGGAGGUCCAAACCGG
rnacentral:rRNA from 1 species